rnacentral:rRNA from 1 species
AUACGGAGGGUGCAAGCGUUACUCGGAAUCACUGGGCGUAAAGCGCGCGCAGGCGGUCUUUUAAGUUGGAUGUGAAAGCCUACGGCUCAACCGUAGAACUGCAUCCAAAACUAUUAGACUAGAGUGUGGGAGAGGAAGAUGGAAUUAGUUGUGUAGGGGUAAAAUCCGUAGAGAUAACUAGGAAUACCAAAAGCGAAGGCAAUCUUCUGGAACACUACUGACGCUGAGGCGCGAAAGCGUGCGGAGCAAACAGGAUUAGAAACCCCAGUAGUCC